rnacentral:rRNA from 1 species
GAUGAACGCUGGCGGCGUGCCUAAUACAUGCAAGUCGAGCGAACAGACGAGGAGCUUGCUCCUCUGACGUUAGCGGCGGACGGGUGAGUAACACGUGGAUAACCUACCUAUAAGACUGGGAUAACUUCGAGAAACCGGAGCUAAUACCGGAUAAUAUAUUGAACCGCAUGGUUCAAUAGUGAAAGACGGUUUUGCUGUCACUUAUAGAUGGAUCCGCGCCGCAUUAGCUAGUUGGUAAGGUAACGGCUUACCAAGGCAACGAUGCGUAGCCGACCUGAGAGGGUGAUCGGCCACACUGGAACUGAGACACGGUCCAGACUCCUACGGGAGGCAGCAGUAGGGAAUCUUCCGCAAUGGGCGAAAGCCUCACGGAGCAACGCCGCGUGAGUGAUGAAGGUCUUCGGAUCGUAAAACUCUGUUAUUAGGGAAGAACAAAUGUGUAAGUAACUAUGCACGUCUUGACGGUACCUAAUCAGAAAGCCACGGCUAACUACGUG